rnacentral:rRNA from 1 species
CCUACGGGUGGCAGCAGUGAGGAAUAUUGGUCAAUGGCCGGAAGGCUGAACCAGCCAAGCCGCGUGAGGGAGGAAGGCGCAGAGCGUCGCAGACCUCUUUUGCCGGGGGACAAAAGGCCGGACGGGUCCGGUUCUGAGGGUACCCGGAGAAAAAGCAUCGGCUAACUCCGUGCCAGCAGCCGCGGUAAUACGGAGGAUGCGAGCGUUAUCCGGAUUCAUUGGGUUUAAAGGGUGCGUAGGCGGGCUUUUAAGUCAGCGGUAAAAAUUCGGGGCUCAACCCCGUCCGGCCGUUGAAACUGGCAGUCUCGAGUUGGAGAGAAGUAUGCGGAAUGCGCGGUGUAGCGGGGAAAUGCAUAGAUAUCGCGCAGAACUCCGAUUGCGAAGGCAGCAUGCCGGCUCCACACUGACGCUGAGGCACGAAAGCGUGGGUAUCGAACAGGAUUAGAUACCCCAGUAGUC